UCCCAGCCAUCCAAAAUUGCACCUGCGAGGUCAGGCCUGCCUCGCCCACGUGACCAGUUUUUGGUUUCACCCUUUAGCAUAAGAGCAUCGGUAUGGAGCCAAAUCUCAGGCUGACUGCCUCUGUUGGAGCUGGAAAAGGCUGUUUCUUGGUGGCUACUUUGGAACUCUGCUGCCAGUGGCUAUCCAAACUGUGGGUACCCAGGACCUCAGUUUCUUCACACUUCAUCAAUGGAGAAAAAGCUUUAAGGAGGAUCUGACGCCAGCUUUCCGUCAAGCCUCUUCUACCACUGUCUCUUUGAUUGGGACCUUUCUACAUCAGGUAAGGGUAUUGGGUACAAGGGGAGGUUGGUUUGGGGCCAGGAGAGAUUGGUUUGGGGUCUGUGACUCUUUCCUUCCUGCCCCAUCCUUCCAGUUCCCUGGUUUAACCUGCCUCAGCUCCAAACCCGGAGCCCCCAGACCCCUGCCCCUCUGCCCCUCCUCUAUUCCUAACCUCCCAGGUCCUGAUCCCCUGGCUCCCUAGUCAACUUCCCAUUCUCACCCCCAGCCUCCAGUGGCCCAGGCUCCAGCCCCUCCCAGCCUUCAGUACCCUAAGUUAAACACCCGCCAUAAGUAAGAAGCACGGUCAGCCUUCGAGGACUUGGCCAGGCCUCUUGAUCACUUUACAGAUGCACCCAGUAAGAAAGAGUCACAGCACCUUCCCACCUCUUCAGUUCUCAGCACUUGUGGAUCUUUUCCAUCUUGACCAACCCGAUUGCAGAGAAUAGAGCCAAUCCCUUUGCUUGGCCCUUAUGGAUACAAAUUUGGUACCCACAGUAGAAUAGAAUUAGAGAAAAAAAGCGAGCUUUCUCUCAGCCCUCCUUUCCUUCCUUUAAGCUCUCCAAAAGUUACCUUCCAUCUCCCUAAAGUUCCCGGUUAUUACAACCACCCCUCUUCUCCAUUGAGGGAGUUGACCGUGACCCCAAGUAGAUACCUACCUGCCCCUGGUAUGGGACACGGCACUGAGUGCUUUCCCAUACACACCGUAGAUCACCUUGCCAGUCUAUAGCAGCCCCGCCCGGGGAGCUUUCUGUCCUUGUAACAACUUUCACAUUUUUUAAAGCACUUCACAGCUUUUUUUCUAGCGCAGUCAACGCCAGUGUGGCUGUUCUUACUUUGGGAAUCACAAUUAACAAAAGUAGGAGUCGCUGUAAUCUGAAGCCUGCCAUUCUGAUGACUGAAGGUGGCUGUCUGUCUAGCAGGAAGGGCAUAUGCAGUCUUGAAACGCUGGAUCAAAGGAUGACUAACACAGUCCAGGUGGGGCUGGGGAACACUUCACUAUGCUAGAGAGGCCCCAGGUGACUGGGAUCCUUGGCUAGAGGGCCUUGUAUAAGAGGCAGGGUGACAGAGGACUUGUAACAGAUCCACCACCUACUAAUCUAGGAGGAGACCCAAGGGCAGAGUCUAUUUUGAAAGGUGGGAAUCUUUGAGGCAACCACCUCUUCAAGGACCUCACCUGGUCCCGCCUUUUAAAGAUUCACAGUGGGGAUGAAAUUUCAGCCCAGAUAUCAAGGGCCUCUAAACCCUAAGUCCUAGCUUUAGUGUUCUACAGUCAUAUAAUUUAUUUGGGUCUAUUUUAAUUUACCUACUGCCCUAUAGAUCUAGAAUGCUUCAAGUUCUAGGGCAUUUUCUUGAAGUAAGUCUUUGGUGAACUCUUCUCUACUUUCUGCCCUGUUAUUUGGACAUUAGACCAAUUUUGCCUUUUAAUUUGUUAAAUUUUCUCUCUUAAUGGCCACCAUUCUAACUUUGUGGCAUUUUAAGAGGGGUUUCUUCAGUUUUGUCAUUGAAUCCAGGGUUCGAAGUGCUAUUGCCCUGAAUGCUCACCGAGUGAUCUCUGCCAGUGAAAAGAGCCAGUUCAAACCAGAUUAGAUUAUAUCAAAUGCAGGUUUAUUGGGGAACAGCUCUUAGGCAAACUCACUGGCCCCAAGGAUGGAGACCAGGGAAAUCACCCCGGGGAGUGGGGAGGGAAAGAGAGAGAAAGGGUACACACAGCAGAAAGAGAAGGGAGACCAAAAUGUCUGGAUUAUAUGGGGAGAAACCUCUGGGGGAAGAGAGCCCAGAGUCUGGAGAGGUAAGGGUUAAGGGGUAGGGCACACCAGGUAGGGACUGAGGGGUUCUGCUUUGAUAUGUAAAAUAUGCACCUCAGUCCCUUGUCCCUGGGUCUGAAACCAACCACCACCCCUCUAAUCCUUUCUUAGCUCAAGGGUAUAGAGCUCUGAGAUGUCAGAUCUGACUUAUUAAUAGUUAAGGGAUCUUUUUUUCCUUCUACUUUGCUGGCAGCAGGGCUUUUCUAGGAGUCUAUAGGAACAUGGUGCUAGCUCACAGGUAAAGGCCGGAUGCUAAUCAACCAGCUGUGCUAACACUCAGCUAAUUGGAGUCCUUCUGCUCAGCCAGAUAGAAGGCAGGUGUAGGUAGAGACACUGAGGUUCAGGCAGUCCCGGCCCUUGAAUGCCUGAGCCCCAGGAGCUCCGACUGGCAGAGGCAGAGACUGUAACUCAACGUGCUUUCUACACACCUCCCACACCUCCCACACCCCACUCCUGGGCCAGCAGCAGCCUGUGCAAAGACUUCCAAGUCAGGGCUGGAGGCUAGCACUGGUAACUCCCAGGAGUGAGCAGCAUGCUGGGUCUGCUCCUAUCCCAGCUCUUGCUGGGCCAUGGGCUUCAUACUCUCAGCUCCUCCAGCACUGAGUGUUUCAGGCCAGGCCGCUUGGGGAGCUUAGGACCUUAUGCAUUAACAAAAAGGUCUUUUCUGUCCCUGGCUUGUUACAGUCUCUUCAGCCUUAGCUUUCUCGGCCCACUGUCACCUCGGAAUGUCUCUACCACCUCUAUCCUCCAUCUUUUCUGCCACACUACUCUCUGGGACUCUAGCCUUCCUCUAUCUACCACCAGCUCUGGGAGGCACUGGCUACCUCUGCUUCCCAUGAUGCACCUGUUGCCUCCUCUGCACAAUAAACUCAGUCCUCUGUCUCUAACAAAGAUAAAAGGAUGAGGGUAGACCACUCAAUUAAAAAGUAGACAAGGGUAAACCAUGUGAAACCUACUGCGGAGCGGAAGCCAGGCAGUGCCAGAGGACAGGGUAGAGGGACAGUCAAAAGCUGGUUCAGCAACCUGCCUUAUAGCCAGACAUAGGUGUUUCAACAAGGGUCUCUACACUACACAGGGCAGUCCUUCUCGAGUUUGCCAUAGUGCAUGCUUUUCAUGCAAAGGAGGAUUGUGUUUGGGCCAACCACAGGAUUUCUGCUGGGAAACUGCAGACAGGAGAACAUUCUAUUCAUUCCCAUGUUUCUGUGUGUGUCCCAAGGAAAUGAGGUGUGAGGCAGUCAGGGAGACACAGGAACCAAACACAGGAGCAAGACAAAGGAAAAACUCAGGGAAGCUGGAUCACAGGAAGUGACUAGCUAAGGGAGGAGGUGGAUUGGAUGGUGGGGACAGAACCAACUGGGGAAUGGCAUGCUUGAGCAUAUUGAGAGAAAUUGGUCAGUUUUCUUGGCUUAGAGAAAAACAAGUGACAUUCUUGCUCAUCUCAGUGACCUGCUUGUCCCUAAGUGACCCUGUCUCUCUGUGGCCUCGUCUCCACUAAGGAAGGCAUCCUCAGAACCCAUCUAGGGAGGAGUAGCUCCCACACAAAGGGACUGAGUUCAACCUUUACAUGGAGAUACAGCUGCAGGAAGAGCAGAGCUCAUUCAUGGAGAGAGCCACCAGUCAGGAGCAAACUAUGCAAAGAAACAGCAGCGUGCAAGCAUCCAAAGAAACCCACAUGCCUGUGGCUACCUCAGCCCGUGCACUGGGCAUUAGGCCUCCCUAUGGUAUCUGGGGUGGUAUGAGGAAAGGAUACCUAACUGAUCUAGUCCUGAGCCCCAGCACCAGGGUUUCCUAUGUCGCCUACCACUUGGGAAUCAUCCCGACACCAGACUAUCCAGUCCCCAUUGCGCACACAUGGUUACCCUGGGGCUUAGGUAAGAGGCCGGCUAUUAUUGUGCCCUCAGUGUGGUCAAGGGAGGCCACCGACAUUUAUGACCAACUCGAGAGCCAGUACCCAAACUUUGUGGCAACUGACACAUUUCCUUGUAGUCUCCAGGCGAUCCUACAUCUAAUUCCUUAGUCUUUCUCUCUUUUGCCAAUGACGUUCCCAGCCAUUAUUCCCCAAGUUCGGUACCAGAUUCUAACCUGCCUAGAAGGGUAGAAGGGGCCUCCGGGGUGGUGACCUAGAUACCUGCCAGCCCAGCCCUCAAAUGUUUGCCCCUACAACCCAGCAACCCCAACUGCCGACCCUGCAGAGUCCACUGCUGCCUCUUUGAGCAGAUGGUUGGGAUGUUCAGAGCCUCAGACGCCCCACAUUGCAUCCUUUGAUCGAGCCAGCAGCCAGCCUCUACCACCUUGAAGGAUCUCCGCCAUCAUGCCCCUCCCCCUCCUCACAUGCCUUCCUGGCCUUGAAGGGGACUCCACUGGUUCUUUUGGGGUUUUUUGUUUGUUUUUCCUCAGGACUGUUGUUGGCACCUUUCCUCCCAGCUUUCAUUCUGGGCUCUCACAGGUCAUCCACCUGGGCAGAUACAUUUUAUGUAAAAUGAUUUUUAAUUACUGAAACCUGUAAACUAUCAAGAUCCAUCGCCUGCACCAAGCCCUCUUUUCCAUUGAAAUGGAGCUGACUGUUCAGUACCUGGGCAUCCUGUGGUACUACCGAGUCCCCAGUGCUUUCACAUGGAUGCCCUGGGGCAGUUAGGUGGCUUCUUCCUGCGCCCUCAGUGUGGUCAAGGGAGGCUACCAGCUUUUAUCACCAACUUGAGAGCCAGUGCCAUGGAGUCCAAUAUGUUGCCUUGUUUCAUGGGAUUUCUACACCCUAAUUCCUCAGUCUUUCCAAGCCUCUGCCUGGUCCCUUUCCCUCAGAGAAGGUCCUUUGCUCCCUGGUUGCCAUAUAUGGCAGCUGUGUCUCCAGAGCAUCCUGGGACCACAGAACUCAGCAGGCGCUCUUCAGAAUCUCUUCAAAAGCCCCACUCAAUGGGGGAUGCAUUUAAGGGGGGAAGACAGGAGCCACAAGUUCACUGCAUACACAUACGUACACCCCACAUUGUCUCCUUUCUCAUAAGAGCUAGUGACACCAUCCCAUAAAACAUAGUGACUUGCAUGUUCUUAAUAUUAAAUGACAUUCUAUUAAUCAUUUUUCUUAGGUUUCACCAGUUGAUAUAUUUUGAGACCCCAGCCUAACCUGCAAGUGUGAAUAGUACAUUUGUCUGUCCAGGUUUAUUGGCAGGAAGGUUCUCCUGUACGUCCUACUGGUUUUAUUGCCUACUGUAUUCUUUCCUCCCGAACUUCAAACAUAUUAAAGGAGGUAAAGGAAAUCUCACCAUAGGCUAUGGCUUGGAUCUUUGUCUUUACCUAGAGGUUCCUAUAUUGAAGGGCAGGGAGGUGACGGAGCCUUUAUGAAGCAGGAAGGUCUUUAAGUCACUGGGAGUGUACCCUUGCAGAAGAUGUCGAGACCCUAGCCCCCUUUUGGACCCUGAGGUGAACUGUUUUACUCUGCCAUACAUCCUCCAGUGUGCGCCAGACAGGUCCAAAGCAAAAAGACCAAGUGACCACGGCUCCGAACCCUCUAAAACUGUGAGCUGAGUAACCUUGUCUCACAACCUCAAGGAUCUGCUACAGUAACAGGACGCUGACACACCAUGGAAUUGUUUCAGCAGAUUCUGUUUUGACCUCACCGAGUCUCUGGUGUCCCAUAUCAUCACCUGUAGCCUCAGUUUCAUGUUGUGGCUUCAAGCACAAUUUCUGUCAAUUCAUUUGCCUAGAGUUCCUCUUACUAUUAAAUAUACCAAUUUAAAUAUAUCCUAUCAUGAUGUCUGACCACUUUUACUACUUUUUAAAGAUCUAUGUGUAUGAGUGUGCUGCCUGCAUUUGUGUAUACAUACAACCAUGAGUGCACCUGGUCCCCACAGAGGUCAGAAGAAUGUGUCCGAUUCCCUGGAGCUGGAAUUAGAGGUUUGUGACCUGCCUGGUGUGUGUGCUGAGAACUGAACUCCUCGGGUCCUCUGCAAGAGAAGUACACACUCCGAAUGGCUGAACUGUCUCUUCAGCUCCAUGUUUUUGGAUCAUUGUAAAGAAUCAGUAUUAAAGGGUUGGAGGAGGUGGGUACCCAGUCAAUUUUCUAAUUGUCUUACGGCCCAAUAAACCAAAGUGUCUUUGUACUUUAAGAUGCCUCUUAGGGGGUUGGAGGUAAAAGCUCAGUGGGAAAGCUCCUGACUGAUUUACCUGAGGUGCCAGGUUCCAGCCAGGGAUACCAAGUCUCUUGAGGAUUUCUCUCUGGCCUGCAGUUACCUCCCCAGAGUUAUGAUUCCAGUUCUUGCUGCCCUGUGGUCUAGUGAUCACUCUGUUUAUGCAGCAACAGAACAUUCGUGUGGAAGCUUACCACUUCCAGUAUGGGAUAGUAACUGCACGUUCGUGAUCCCCAAACAACAGUUCACUGAGCAGCAAAGCUGUGUCUAGGAUUGCAAAAGAGAGAUCAUUAAAAAUACAUAUGGAAGGAUAGCAAACUCCCAAGCUUCUUGGUGUAUAGUUUUAGAGUCUGAAAUAAUCGAUUGUUAGAAGGUUGAGCGGACUUGAAAAAACCCUGCUGGAGGCUCCGUGACCUGCAGCCUGUGGUGGGGCGUCUGCAUGAGGUCCUAGAGGGGUGGAAGGGCAAGGAGCUGCAGGCCUCAGAUGCUCUGUUGAGGGGUGGGAGUCCAGUAGAGCCUGGGGAGGGAGACCUGCACCUGAUGUGGAGCACCCCCAAGACCUGGCUUGCCUGCUGAGGAGGUCUUGACCCCAGAAUUCGUUCCCUCCUCAGGCAUGAAGGUCAUUCUUCCAGCACUGUGCAGGGCUCUGGUUAGGAAGCAUCUUGAGCUUAGCAGCCUUUCAAAAGACUUGCUUCAAUGCUGCCUGCAAACCCAGCCCUUCCUAUGGGUGUUGUGCUCUUGGAUCAGAGUGGUGGAUGUAUACAAAGUCCUCCUGCCAACCUGAUUGCCAACAGUUGCACAGGACUGUCCCCAGGGGCCACGGAGGGUAUGGGGGUGGUACUUGGCUUUUAUGUGCCCUAAGUAAGUUGGACUGCCCCUUUGUUUCUCUGAAACCUAUCGCAGUCUGGAUCUCCCAGGCCUAGCAAAGCCCAGAGACACCUACCACCAGGCGGGAACCUACAGAAUGGCUGCCUGGCUUAGGGGACAAGGACCAUAAAGAACUUGCCUGUCUCAAAACUAUGGGUGACGUCCUCUCCUCUCUCUGUCAUUAGCCUUCCUUCCCAGAUUUAUGGAGCUCUAACUGUAUUUUAAAACUUUGAAAUGGAGUGUGUAACCCAGGUUAGCCUUGAACUCACAAUCUUCCUGCCUCAGGCCCCUGAGUGAUGAGAAGGCAUACACACUCUGUCAUUUCCACACUGUUAUUUGAAGAAUUUCAGUUGUAAGAGAUAAUAGGAAGAAUGGAUACAUUUAUAUUUUUUAAUCUAAAUAUAAAGACAGUUAAUCCCCCUGCCCCCGUGUCCAUUUCGUUGUUCUACCCAGAAACAAGAGCAGUUACAAAGGGCCACGUCCCCAUCUAUCAAUGUACCAUUAUCUCAACCUAAAACGCAGAUGUCUGCCAGGUCCUUGCCUCCAAGAAAGGGGACUUCUUCUAUAUAGCCUUCUAUCAUAAUCACACAGACCAAAAUUAAUACUCUCAUUAUCUUGUGCUCAAAAUACAUUUAAACAUUCUCGGUGGUACCAACCAUACACUUCAUAGCUUUGUAAAACCCAGGUAGAGCCUGUGGCUGGUCACAUGUCUUAUUUUUGAUGUGACCAGGAUUUUCUUGCUUUCUUUCUUGGGCUGGUAUUGGCUGUAUGUGUGUGUUUAUGACAUGUUAUUGUACGUGUACAUGUUUCUUUAAAUAAAAGUGUUAGCUACACACACUCCCUGUGGCUUUCCUCUUUCUCUCUCUUGUCUGUUUCUGUUAGUCUCUCUCUGUGUCUCCCUGUCUCUCUGUCUCUAUCUCAGUACAUGCUGGUAUAUGGGUGGGCUCAAUUAAUCAUUCACAUAUAUGGAGGCCAAGGUUGAUAACAGGAUCUUCCUCUGUCACUUCCUGUCUUAUUUUUUGAGUUCAGUCUUUCGUUAAACUUGGAGCUCACUGACUUAGUAUGACCAGCUGGCUGUCAAGCCCUGGAGUCUCUCCAGGGCUAGGAUUUCAGGCACAAGUUCCAUGCCUGGCUUUGUACCUGGGUCCAGGUACAACCAUCAAACCAGCAGGUUUGCUGCCUGUUCACCCAUCUCUUCAGCCUCCUUUUUACUUUCCAAAUGGCAUCUGGUGGUCAACAGUUUUGAAUUGUAUGAAGAUCUAAAUUUUUAAAACGCUCUCUUUGGAGCAUUGAAAGAUGCAACUAAUUGCUUUGUCUCCCUCAAAGUUGUGGGUAUGGUCUUAUUUUUUUAACUGAAGCUUUAUUCUGUGACAGUAUUUCAUGUUUACAUCUGUUGUCCAUCUGACAUUAAUUUUGAAAGGUAGUGACUUCUUACUUUGGGCCCUACAUCUGGUACCUUAUGAAGGUGUUUUUUGUAAAUGUUAAGAUUCUUUAGUGGUAAAAUGUAAUAGUCUAUUCAUUUAGGUCAGGUUAGUUAACCAUUUUGUUGAAUACUUUCACACCAUUGACCUUGUUGUCUUCAGUUGUUGAAAAUUAAAAUAUCAAGUUUGGAUGUGCACUAUUCCGUUUCUUAGUUAUAUUGUUUUUGCUUUAUAUUCUUACUUGGCAUAUACACAUUUAUUAUAGUAAUAUCUUCACAACAGUGGGUCCUUUCUAUUCCUAUAAAACAUCUCACUUGACAUUUUCCAGUGCUGGGAGCAUAGUCUGUCUCUCUAACGCGGUGUCCUGCUCUGAUUUCAGUCAGUUUGUGUCUUUGUGUUCAGCUGUGCCUCACACACAGCAGAUGGUGGUUCUGGUUUUUAGAUCCAGCCUGAUUUGUCCUUUGCCUUUUAGUUAGGUUGCUUUUUUCUACUUACAUUUAGUGUAGUCACUACUGUUAUUGAUCCCCAACCACCAUCUCUCUACCUUAUUCUUCCUACUUACUCUACUUUCUGCUAUUUAGUACUUUUUCCUGGCACCUUUCACAUAAAAUAUUCAGAUGAGAUCAGUCGUGUUUGGGGUGGUAUGGUUAGAAGCCCUUCCAUAAGGCAACCAACAUACUUUUUACUGCACGGCUCUUCUCUACCACUGUUCUCCACACAGUCAUUUGGUAGUUACUUAGAAAUUAUAAUACGUGCCCUCCAUCCCCCGGUCUGCUUUGCAGUGGUAUAUUUUACUGCUUUCUAAAUAGAUUGUGCCUUUCAACAGUUGUGACUCCCGUCUUCCAUCUGCCUUACACCCUAUUGUUGACUGUUACUCCAGUUCAUGCUGGAGAUGCGACCUUAUUGCAUUAGUGCACGUGACCUUUAUCUCCAAACAUGCACCCAGUUGUUUCUGUUCCCAGCCCUCUCCUCUCUUUCCUGAACCUUCACACCUCCACCCGGGCUCGUUUUCCUUCAACCUGGAGACCUUCCAUGGUGCAUCUGUGGUACAUGAGAAAUUCCUUCCGUUCUGCCUGGGAGCAUUUCUGUCCUGCUUCUUUUUAUUACAAUAUCUGUACAGAUUUAAGGGGAUAUUAAAAAGUCAAAAAAAAAAAAAAGAAAAGAAAAAAACAAAUGCUGGCUGGGAUACUGAGAAAGAGAACACUUCACACUGUUGGGAGGAGGGUUAUUUGCUCAUCCACGACGGAAACUACCAUGCAGAGGCCAUUAAAAACUAAAAAUAGCAUGAACGACAUGUGAUUGGGCAGGCCCUCUGCUGUGUGCACAUCCACAGGAACAAAAUCCUAUCAUCAGAGAGACACCUGCACCCCCAACCCCUACUGAAGUACCAGUCUCAACAGCCAACACAGACUCAACGGCAAGUCGGCUGACGGCUGAGUGGAUAAGGAAAAUGUGCUGUGUAGACAGGGAAGACCAUAUGCACGAAAGUGCAUCAGCCUUUUUUGAAACUGAAAUCCUGAGCGAGGUGGGGAUGGGGUGCAAACAGUGGCGAUGCCAGUACUUGAGAGGAUCAGGAGGAUCAAGAGCUUGAGGCUAGCCUGGGAUACACAGUGAGACCUGUCACCGAAGAGGAAAGAAAACAGACGCAGACAGACGGGCGCAUGCACGCACCGAGCGGGGCUAUGGUUUGCAGCCGCCUGGGUGGAAUUAGAGGUUGCUGAGGAACACACGUACAGGUGGCUGCACCUCAUUUGCCAGCAUGUCGCCUUUGCUUGACUCCUUUCGCUCCUUCGGCAGGUUUUCCUUUACCUGUCGUUCUAUGUCUCACGGAGGGACUGCAUCACAGAACAAAGGGGCUACUUUCAGGAAUGGAGCUGCUGCUCAGCCAUGAGAUGGGGUUGGUCACCCAGUACCCCAGAACACCAUUGUGAUUUCUUUUUUUUUUUUUUUUUUUAAUUAUGAGCUGUGAGUUGUUCCCAUUGCUCCAGGACGAGGUACAUAGAAACCAAUUCUUUGUGAUUUAUUACCCUUAUUAAACUUUGUAAAUUUAUUCCAAAGUAUGUGUAUUUGUUGAAGGGGUUUGUAUGCAUUCAUUUGACCAAGUUACUAAAGCGUGGAUCAAAUCUUUCAAAUGCUUGACUGUAACUCUUAAUUGCUUGACUGUAACUUUAACUUUUUUAAGCCCUAUUUUUAAUGAUGGGUUUUAAACGUUUUAACUUCUCCUUUAGCCCUCCACCCACAGGUAAUAAAAAAGAAAGGAUAUGGGGAAAUGGACCUGUUUAGAAAGCCUUUUUUGGAGCAACUCCUGUCUGUGUUGUCUGGAAAUCAGCAGGUCAGUUCACAGGUCAGCAGGGGCAGCUCGAUCCACUCACAGACACUUCAGGGAUACACCAGCAGUCCAGUUCGGUAGAGUGGGGAUAGUAAACAGGAAUCAGCAAUGGUGGCACUGCCUAGCAGAGACAGCCAGGCUUCAGUCUCAGCAGGAGUCAUCAGGAGGGACCAGGAGGAACUCCAAGAAAAGUCCUCAGCUGUGCCUCUCUCAGGGAAGUGAAGACAUAGGGAGCUCUAUAAGCAAGCCUGGCUCAGCCUCCAUCACUGUCCAUCAAGUUCUAUGUCCACCCUCCAAACAACACAUAUCGUCACGGGUCUUGCCUCAACACGUGUCUUCUCUCAGCUGACAUCACUCUGACAAUCAGCCUGAGUCUGGAAGCAGCAAGAAACUGCAGCCCACCACCAGAAGUUUUUUUGGUGAGUUUCUCUCUAUGGAGUCCCGAGAAAUAGAGCUCAACCAUGCAAUGUAAAGUGGACCAAUACAUGUGUGUCAUUAACAAAAAAUCCUUUAUCAUGUGUCCCUUUACGUGUUUGCUUUAGCACAAUAUCCUCUCUCCUGUCUCUGCUUCACCGAAACCUUCUUUUACAAGUCUGCCUUAGUCUUUCACCUGUGUCCACUUUAGCUAAACGUUCCUUCCUGUGUUUGCCCCAGCAAAACAUCCAACCAACUUAAAAAAAAACAAAACAAAAAAACCCUUAAGUUUCCACUUCAUUUGAUCUCUGUAUUGGUUAAAGCCUUAUGCAGAGUAUAGGAUUAUUAAGCUCUGUAUUACUCCUGGUGUUUUUGAGAUCUCUACAAAUUGCAAAUGUAUCAAAAAAUUAUUUACUACGGCUGGAAAGAUGGUUUAGCAGUAAGAGCACUUGCUGGUCUUGCAAAGGUCCUAGUUGGAUUCCCAGCACCCACUUGGGGGUACACAAGCAUAUGUAACCCAUUCCAGGGCAUCCGACAUCCUCUUCUGGCCUUUGCAGGCUCUGUAUACACAUGUUGCACAAGCAUAAUACCGGCAAACCACCAUACACACAGGAUAAAAUGUUGCUUAAAUGACAACGGAUCCCAUCAGUCUUUCUCUGCAGGUCCUAAGCAUUCGUUUGCAUGAAUAACUUGUCACCUCCCACAGUCUACAGAGUAGUGAGCUACACUGACUCACACUGGCUGUGCUGAGAGGAACGAAGCAAAGGCUUUUAUUUUGUAACGUCUCUUUCAUCGUAUUUGUAAUACGAUGUAUAAAUUCAUGGCAUUUAUAAUACCUUACACAGUGUAAAAUGAAACUAGUUGUGUUUUCUUGCACUAAUCUUACCAGUUUGGAAUUCCAGGUAACAUGGCCCCAAGAAG